GUGCCAGCCGCCGCGGUAAUACAGAGGUGGCAAGCGUUGUUCGGAAUUACUGGGCGUAAAGGGCGCGUAGGCGGCUGGGUAAGUCCCGUGUGAAAUCCCUCAGCUCAACUGAGGAAUGGCACGGGAAACUGCCUGGCUUGAGUUCGGGAGAGGGAAGCGGAAUUCCGGGUGUAGCGGUGAAAUGCGUAGAUAUCCGGAGGAACACCGGUGGCGAAGGCGGCUUCCUGGACCGACACUGACGCUGAGGCGCGAAAGCUAGGGGAGCAAACGGGAUUAGAUACCCGGGUAGUCC
rnacentral:rRNA from 1 species